GGAAGGAUCAUUACCUUUUCACCGUGAACAGGCGCGCGGGGUUCUUUUUCUCUUGGGAAGUUGAAAUUACAUUUCCCAAGGGGAAAAAAAACCGGGAGCUUGGGGCUGCGGCCUCCUGCUCGCGGUUUGCGAACCCCGCACGCCUCUUCGCCAUCCACCCUCUUUUACGAGCACCUUUCCUUCUUCCUCGGCGGGGCGACCCGCCGGCGGAACCAUACACGAACUCUUAUGCAUCUAAGAAGUACUGUUCUGAUAAACCAAAAUCGUUACAACUUUCAACAAUGGAUCUCUUGGCUCUGGCAUCGAUGAAGAACGCAGCGAAAUGCGAUACGUAGUGUGAAUUGCAGAAUCCAGUGAAUCAUCGAAUCUUUGAACGCACAUUGCGCCCCUUGGUAUUCCAUGGGGCAUGCCUGUUCGAGCGUCAUUUACACCCUCAAGCUCUGCUUGGUGUUGGGCGUCUGUCCGCGCCCCCGCGCGUGGACUCGCCCCAAAGACAUUGGCAGCCCUGGCCGACGACCGCCCUCGCAGCACAAUUGCGCAGGGUCCGGCGGCUGUGGCGUCCAGCAAGUCUCCUCUCCACGUUUGACCUCGGAUCAGGUAGGGAUACCCGCUGAACUUAAGCAUAUCAAUAAGCGGAGGAAAAGAAACCAACAGGGACUGCCCUAGUAACGGCGAGUGAAGCGGCACAAGCUCAGAUUUGAAAUCUGGCCCUUUCAGGGUCCGAGUUGUAGUCUGCAGAGGGUGCUUUGGCAUGGGCGGCGGUCUAAGUUCCUUGGAACAGGACAUCACAGAGGGUGAGAAUCCCGUACGUGGCAGCCUGCCCUUGCCGUGUAAAGCCCCUUCGACGAGUCGAGUUGUUUGGGAAUGCAGCUCAAAAUGGGAGGUAAAUUUCUUCUAAAGCUAAGUACUGGCCAGAGACCGAUAGCGCACAAGUAGAGUGAUCGAAAGAUGAAAAGCACUUUGGAAAGAGAGUCAAAUAGCACGUGAAAUUGUUGAAAGGGAAGCGCUUGCUGCCAGACUUGCCUGCAGUUGCUCACCCGGGCUCUUGCCCGGGGCACUCUUCUGCAGGCAGGCCAGCAUCAGUUUGGGCGGUCGGAUAAAGGCCUCUGUCACGUACCACCCUUCGGGGUGGCCUUAUAGGGGAGGCGUAAUGCGACCAGCCCGGACUGAGGUCCGCGCAUCUGCUAGGAUGCUGGCGUAAUGGCAGUAAGCGGCCCGUCUUGAAACACGGACCAAGGAGUCUAACAUCUAUGCGAGUGUUUGGGUGUCAAGCCCGGGCGCGUAAUGAAAGUGAACGGAGGUGGGAACCCUUCGGGGUGCACCAUCGACCGAUCCUGAUGUCUUCGGAUGGAUUUGAGUAAGAGCAUAGCUGUUGGGACCCGAAAGAUGGUGAACUAUGCUUGAAUAGGGUGAAGUCAGAGGAAACUCUGAUGGAGGCUCGCAGCGGUUCUGACGUGCAAAUCGAUCGUCAAAUUUGGGCAUAGGGGCGAAAGACUAAUCGAACUAUCUAGUAGCUGGUUCCUGC
rnacentral:misc_RNA from 1 species